rnacentral:tRNA from 2 species
CGCGACGUAGUUCAACGGAAGAACACUCCGCUUCUACUCGGCUGGCGGCGCCGGUCGGGGGUGGUGAGGCUGUAGGUUCGAAUCCUACCGUCGCGU